rnacentral:lncRNA from 1 species
AGGGAAUUUACCUCCUGCUUCAUGCAUGCAACAUCAAAAUGAAGAGUGACCUAUGGGAUCCAUGGAGGAGCUGCUUCCUGAAUCUGUGUAAAGUAGAUCUUGCUGUGUGGGUGACUGUGACUGUGGUGGCCAUGAAGAGGCACAACUCAGACCUCGGAUCUCCUGCUGCAGAGAACAUUGACUGACAGCCCAGCAGCCCCUGUCUGGAUCUACCACCUGUUCACAUUCUGAAAUACAUUCAACGCACACUUUCCUACUGAGACUUCUAAAAUGGGACUUGGAAAAAAGAAAAAUAUAAAGUGGGGUACUAUCAUCUAAAUCUCCAAAAAGGUCAUUCAACUCUGAUCCCUGUUUAAAGAGAGAAAAAAGGAAUAAAGGAGCCUUUGAAGGCAGAAUAUUGCUCACUCAUCUCUUUGAAGGGACCUCAGACUGCAGAGCAGAAGAACCACUGGCUACAUCAGCUGGGGCAGAGGGGGAUGAAGAGAACAUCAUGAUGCCUGCAAAAAAGUGGGCUCUGCAGGAUCUCCAGUCACCUCCCUUCCCUUCAGAUCCAGAGCUCUCUCUGGCUAGGACCUUCCAGAGUUCCAGAAUUUUUGUUCCACCUUCCAUUGCUCACUUCUAUUACUAUUACUAAGAUAUUCACAUGGAAUUCUGUGCAAACCAUUUUUUUU